GACGAACGCUGGCGGCGUGCCUAAUACAUGCAAGUCGAACGCUUCUUUCCUCCCGAGUGCUUGCACUCAAUUGGAAAGAGGAGUGGCGGACGGGUGACUAACACGUGUGUAACCUACCCAUCAGAGGGGGAUAACACCUGGAAACAGGUGCUAAUACCGCAUAACAGUUUAUGCCGCAUGGCUUAAGAGUGAACGGCGCUUUCGGGUGUCGUGGAUGGUUGGACCGGCGGUGCAUUAGCGAGUUGGCGGGGUAACGGCCCACCAAGGCGACGAUGCAUAGCCGACCUGAGAGGGUGAUCAGCCACACUGGGACUGAGACACGGCCCAGACUCCUACGGGAGGCAGCAGUAGGGAAUCUUCGGCAAUGGACGAAAGUCUGACCGAGCAACGCCGCGUGAGUGAAGAAGGUUUUCGGAUCGUAAAACUCUGUUGUUAGAGAAGAACAAGGACGUUAGUAACUGAACGUCCCCUGACGGUACCUAAACAGAAAGCAACGGCUAACUACGUG
rnacentral:rRNA from 1 species